CUCAUUUUGCUUCUCGGCCUUUUGGUUAAGAUCAAGUGUACUGCGCAUGAUCCGAGAAGCGAUCAGCAGGCCGGAGGGCGCCAGGAGACUGUGCUAUUUACUUUGUUAAAAGUCAUUUCUGUUGUUUUGUUUCACUAUUGUUUUCUGUCCUGGGUAAGGUGGUGGACUACAGGUGCACAAGCACCUGUAGGGAAAUGGGAGGAUAAGUGGCAGCAUGGGCCCUCCAUUUGGAGUGGUUCCAAUUUUAACAAGAACGACGGUGUUGCUAUUUUAAUCAAGACCCCACAGGUGGUGGUGAAGGGGAGCACGGUGGUGGUAGGAUCGGGAACCAGUAUGUCCAGUGCGCGGGCUCGCUAUAGGUGAGCCCACAACGGUUUGGCGCAACGUGGCCCAUCCUGCUCUCCUGAAUCGGCAUCGGGACAUGUCCUGGAUGGUCGCCCACGAGAUCCUCCCGGUCAGGGUCGUUAUGCACUCACGGGGCAUGGCGAGGAUAUCCGCGUGCCCCCGACCAGGCUGCGGCCAAGAAGAGUCGGUGAGGCACAUGCUCUGGGAGUGCAGAGCCGCCAGGGACCUGUGGAAGGAAGCAGGCCCCCUGAUCACCUCGUGUCUGCCAGCAGGGGAGGACCUAACACCUCAGCUCGUGCUGUAUGGGGUGGGCCGAAGGCCCAUUCCAUCGAAGACCUUCACCAAGCUCUGGUCCACCCUCACGUGCCUGAAGUAAGCACUCUGGUCCUCCCGUAACCUGCUGGUAGCGAAAAACGUAGAGACCCCGUAACCUGCUGGUUGCGAAAAACGUAGAGACCCCCCAGGCAGUGGCCAUGGUAGCCACGGAAGCCCUGGGGUGGUACGGAAGAAAGGGGGCCUCGACCCCAAGCGAAGGGUCCCCCACAACACCCUAGGUCCCGGCGGCCACGGCCUGACAGCGCUGUGGCGCCUAGGGCGAUGCGCCUAGGGGAGGGAUCCCCCCUGGGCCCCGAAGGACGGGACGAUGAUCCAUUCAGAAGAGCAGGAUGAGGUGAGCUUGAUAAAGGCUCACCCCGCUCCUGUACAAGGGACUGAAGACAGCCUUUUAACAAAGUGGCUUUUAACAUGUUUUUCAUGUCCUAAAAAUGUUUUACCUUUGUUAGAUCAUUAGUACACAUUUUAAAUGGCUUUUACAGAUUUGAUGUUUUUACAAGGAAAGUACUUUUAUUCAUAGUUGUUUUCAUUGGUUUUAACAACAUGUACUUUUUAACAAAUUUAAAUGUAACUUUCAAAUGCUGUGUUUUAUGCUUUGUUGCCGUUUUUUUAUGUGUAUAAAUGAUGUAAAAAAUGU